GGGUUGUGAGGUUAAGCGACUAAGCGUACACGGUGGAUGCCCUGGCAGUCAGAGGCGAUGAAGGGCGUGCUAAUCUGCGAUAAGCGCCGGUAAGGUGAUAUGAACCGUUAUAACCGGCGAUACCCGAAUGGGGAAACCCAGUGUGACUCGUCACACUAUCAUUAACUGAAUCCAUAGGUUAAUGAGGCGAACCGGGGGAACUGAAACAUCUAAGUACCCCGAGGAAAAGAAAUCAACCGAGAUUCCCCCAGUAGCGGCGAGCGAACGGGGAGGAGCCCAGAGCCUGAAUCAGCAUGUGUGUUAGUGGAAGCGUCUGGAAAGGCGCGCGAUACAGGGUGACAGCCCCGUACACAAAAGCGCAUGUGCUGUGAGCUCGAUGAGUAGGGCGGGACACGUGGUAUCCUGUCUGAAUAUGGGGGGACCAUCCUCCAAGGCUAAAUACUCCUGACUGACCGAUAGUGAACCAGUACCGUGAGGGAAAGGCGAAAAGAACCCCGGCGAGGGGAGUGAAAAAGAACCUGAAACCGUGUACGUACAAGCAGUGGGAGCACAGGUUUACCUGUGUGACUGCGUACCUUUUGUAUAAUGGGUCAGCGACUUAUAUUCUGUAGCAAGGUUAACCGCAUAGGGGAGCCGGAGGGAAACCGAGUCUUAAUUGGGCGUUAAGUUGCAGGGUAUAGACCCGAAACCCGGUGAUCUAGCCAUGGGCAGGUUGAAGGUUGGGUAACACUAACUGGAGGACCGAACCGACUAAUGUUGAAAAAUUAGCGGAUGACCUGUGGCUGGGGGUGAAAGGCCAAUCAAACCGGGAGAUAGCUGGUUCUCCCCGAAAGCUAUUUAGGUAGCGCCUCGUGAAU
rnacentral:rRNA from 1 species